CCUAACACAUGCAAGUCGAGCGGUCCAGCACUCAAGCUUGCUUGGGUGCUGGGGAGCGGCGAACGGGUGAGUAACGCGUGGGUGACCUGCCCGGGAGACUGGGAUAACAGUUCGAAAGGGCUGCUAAUACCGGAUGAUCCCCAGCACUCAACCGAAGGAAUUAGGCUUGGUUUAGAGGAAGCUUUCUUGUAGGUUCAAUGAGGUUUUUCUAUGGUACAGCCUGGUUUUUGGGUUGAGUGCUGGGGCAAAGCGUUUAGCGCUCCUGGAUGGGCCCGCGUCCCAUUAGCUAGUUGGUGGGGUAAUGGCCUACCAAGGCUGCGAUGGGUAGCCGGUCUGAGAGGAUGGUCGGCCACACUGGGACUGAGACACGGCCCAGACUCCUACGGGAGGCAGCAGUGGGGAAUUUUGCGCAAUGGGGGCAACCCUGACGCAGCGACGCCGCGUGGGUGAUGAAGGCCUUCGGGUUGUAAAGCCCUGUUGGGGGGGAAGAUAAUGACGGUACCCCCUGAGGAAGCCCCGGCUAACUACGUG
rnacentral:rRNA from 1 species